rnacentral:rRNA from 1 species
GACGAACGCUGGCGGCGUGCUUAACACAUGCAAGUCGAACGGUAAGGCCCUUCGGGGUACACGAGUGGCGAACGGGUGAGUAACACGUGGGUGAUCUGCCCUGCACUUCGGGAUAAGCCUGGGAAACUGGGUCUAAUACCGGAUAGGACUCCGGACUGCAUGGUCUGGGGUGGAAAGCUUUUGCGGUGUGGGAUGGGCCCGCGGCCUAUCAGCUUGUUGGUGGGGUGAUGGCCUACCAAGGCGACGACGGGUAGCCGGCCUGAGAGGGUGACCGGCCACACUGGGACUGAGGUACGGCCCAGACUCCUACGGGAGGCAGCAGUGGGGAAUAUUGCACAAUGGGCGCAAGCCUGAUGCAGCGACGCCGCGUGAGGGAUGACGGCCUUCGGGUUGUAAACCUCUUUCAGCACCGACGAAGCGCAAGUGACGGUAGGUGCAGAAGAAGGACCGGCCAACUACGUGCCAGCCGCCGCAGAA